rnacentral:sRNA from 12 species
CGACUGCUUGCGCCCCAUCUGCGCAGGCCAAGGCCAUACGGACAGCCGAGUCGAAUGCCGA